GUACUUACCUGGAUGGGGUCGACGGGUGAUCAAAAAAGCUCGUGGCCUAGAUCAAUGGCUCACAUUGCACUUGGUGAGUGCGUUGAUCUACCAUCUCCCCAAGUGGGAGACUGGACGUUGUAAUUUGUGGUAGAAGGGUACGCGUUCGCGCGGCCCCUAC